AACGAACGCUGGCGGCAUGCCUAACACAUGCAAGUCGAACGAGACCUUCGGGUCUAGUGGCGCACGGGUGCGUAACGCGUGGGAACCUGCCCUUAGGUUCGGAAUAACUCCCCGAAAGGGGUGCUAAUACCGGAUAAUGUCUUCGGACCAAAGAUUUCUCGCCUUUGGAUGGGCCCGCGUUGGAUUAGCUAGUUGGUAGGGUAAAAGCCUACCAAGGCGACGAUCCAUAGCUGGUCUGAGAGGAUGAUCAGCCACACUGGGACUGAGACACGGCCCAGACUCCGACGGGAGGCAGCAGUGGGGAAUAUGGGACAAUGGGCGAAAGACUGAUCCAGCAAUGCCGCGUGAGUGAUGAAGGCCUUAGGGUUGUAAAGCUCUUUUACCCGGGAUGAUAAUAACAGUACCGGGAGAAUAAGCUCCGGCUAACUCCGUG
rnacentral:rRNA from 1 species